rfam:Triticum aestivum genome assembly, contig: Triticum_aestivum_CS42_TGACv1_scaffold_168531_2DL
GAUGUACUCCCUCCGUUCAGAAUUACUUGUCGCAGAAAUGGAUGUAUCUAGAUGUAUUUUAGUUCUAGAUACAUCCAUGUCCGAGACAAGUAAUUCUGAAGGAGGGAGUACAUA